rnacentral:rRNA from 1 species
GUUCCCAUUCCGAACACAGAAGUUAAGCCCACCAGCGCCGAUGGUACUGCUAACGCGGGAGAGUAGGUCGCCGCCAGUU